rnacentral:rRNA from 1 species
UUGAAAGGGAAACGAUUGAAGUCAGUCGUACCAGCGGGAAAUCAACCUUUGAGGGGGGUUUUGGAGUUUUGAAGAGUGUCAAAACCUUUUGAGAUUUCAAAAUAUUCGCUCUUUUGGUGUACUUUCUCGUGGGUAGGUUAACAUCGAUUUUGAUCAUCAUAAAAAGAUUGGAGGAAUGUAGCUUCGAUCUUGUAUUGAAGUGUUAUAGCCUUUGGUAAAUGUGAUGAUUAGGAUCGAGGAUUGCAACGAAUACCCUUUUGGGCUAUCCGCCUGAUCUCUGAUACGUGGCCUUGGUAUCGAAAGCUUGCUUAUGGUAUUAAGGUAUUACGGUCAAAAGGUUAGAACGGAUUACAUUCGUUAAGGAUGUUGACGUA